rnacentral:rRNA from 1 species
GAUGAACGCUAGCGGCAGGCCUAACACAUGCAAGUCGAGGGGUAGAGGAAGCUUGCUUCCUUGAGACCGGCGCACGGGUGCGUAACGCGUAUGCAAUCUACCUUGUACAGGGGGAUAGCCCAGAGAAAUUUGGAUUAAUACCUCAUAGUAUUAUGAAUUGGCAUCGAUUUAUAAUUAAAGUUCCAACGGUACAAGAUGAGCAUGCGUCCCAUUAGUUAGUUGGUAAGGUAACGGCUUACCAAGACAAUGAUGGGUAGGGGUCCUGAGAGGGAGAUCCCCCACACUGGUACUGAGACACGGACCAGACUCCUACGGGAGGCUG